ensembl:lncRNA
ACGCAGCGCACACACACACACACACACACACACACACACACACACACACACACACAGCUACUCUGAUAGAGUGCAGAAUCUCUGCAGAGACGUUCCACUAAUGUUCAACAUAUAUCAUAUCCUCCACAUAUCAAUGUAUGUAAAUCGAUAAAGUAAUAUAGUGGCCCGCCGAGACUGAAUUACUCCAGACUGUAUAAGCCACAUUUAUUUUCAGUGUUGAUUUACUGCAUCAAUGCAGCAUAGGGUAGAUUGCUGUUUUGAUAAUCAGAUUGAAGUCUUCAAGUUGGUUGUUUGUGUUGUGUUCAGAUCAGAGAGUUACGUUUGGUGAACCUGCAUCUGUCAGUCAAUGGAGCUGAGCUUGUGCCUGUCUCAUAAACAGCAUGGCUGUGGAAUCCCAUACACAAAGCGGUGCUUGCACAAGGCUGCAUCAUUGUGUGCUCGUAGCUGUUUGUUCUGUAUGAAAGUAUGAGAGCUUGUGUGUGUUUGUACGUGUGUGUCUGUUUUCUGCUUGUUUAUCCUGUAGUGCUGUUGUGACCUUCCCUCUAUGCAGUAACUCACCUGACGUCAGAGCAGCUCUGUUUUUUGUUUUUUUUUACUUGCUGCUGGCUUACUGACACCCUCCCUCUCUUGUGUCCUCCAGUGAACAGCCUGGCCCGGUCCAAGUACUGCUGACGCCCAAUCAGGAGGAGGAAGAGGACCAGGCAGUGCCCAACCAGGACACUGCUCUGGGUCCGGACCCGCCCCCUCCUCCACCCUAUCGGCCCGCUCCCCCUCGACCCCUGCUCACCCUCAGCAUCCCUCACCCUUGCGCACCUUCUAGCCAAGGGGAGGAGGAGGAGGGUGGAUGCAUGGGGAGGAGAUGGGAGGAAGGCAAGGAUGGGAGGGAGGGGACAGGGGUGAGGCUGUGCGAGUUGCUGCAGGCAGGGGGGGUGAGUGUCAGACCCCUGGGGAAGCACUUAGCCAUCUCUCUGCCCUCGCUUCCUCUGCGUCUCUGGGAUACACACACCACACACAUUGCACACUCCACACACCUUGAACCCACACACACACACCCUCCCUCUCCAUCCUCUACUCCUCCCCCAUCUUCCCCUCUGGAAGCCUCUGGGCAAAGGAAACUUCUCAUGCCUCUCUGGCAGCCCCCCCAGCCCCAUUCCCCCACUGGUGCUGCUCAGCAUUGGCCGAGGCACGAAACUGCCGCCGACAGCGGCACACGUCAUUGGUCCUCCUGGAGUUUGGACCGCCCUGACGCCGUGGUGACACCGUAUGAAACGCCCCCGGACCGCUGUGUCCCCAUCAGGCCGCAGACCUCCAGUCAGCACAACAGCUACAGUUGCCAGUCCUCUCCAGGGCACUACAGCUCCCAGCAUGCCCCAGGGCAACACAGUGAUCCUUGCUGUGACCGCGAAGAGGCUGAGCUGUCUGAGCUUGACUACCUUUACCAGGCCAGUCUGCUGGCUGGAAAGACAGGCUGCAGCCCAUCAGAGAGGCUCAUAUCCAGGAUGGGAGGGCAGACUCGCUCCAAGACCCCCAACGCAGACAUGGAGAGGAGUGUGUACGGGGCGGACUGCACCAGCACCCCCACCUACCUCAACAAGGUAUUGUCUACGUAG